UAAGCUUUGCUUGUACGAUGACAUUUCUCACUUUUCUCUUCAGUGUUUUGGAUGCAUGCAAUUGUUUUGUAGCGAACAGAGAAGAGGACAUUCAUGCCUUGUCAAAAACACUUUCGUAUUACUGUGUUCGAGCCAGGGAGGUCUAAACGAGAGGAUGCCCUUUAUUAGCCAGCCUAUUGUGUACAUGGAACAGAUCCAGUCUUCAAGAUUUAAAUAUACAAGGGUGAUUCUUUGAACUCGACUGAAGAAAUCUCGGCACAAUUUCUAUUUUACUUACAAUCAUUAAGAUGUUGUAAGUGAAAGGUCGCCCUGAAGUUAGGCUGACCAUGGUACCUUGAGUCAAAGUGCACUGUGCACGCAGAGGAAACAAAUCAAUGGCAAUGAGUGAUCAUAAGCAUCACUUUAAUCAGGUACGCAGCUUUUUAAAACUCCAGUGUUGUCAUUUUUAUUAACAACAGCUUCACAUUUAUUUUUUCUUGUUCAACUUUCACCCUCUGGAUUAGCUUUGGCAUCACCUGCAUUCCAUGUGGUUGCGAGUCCACGCUGGUAGCACAAUCAUAACCAUCGCGUCAUCUGACACGCACACUUUUUACAGCAUGCCAAUAAUUUCUCCCCCUAAGUCUGUGCUUACUGAUUAUAGGGGAAAUGCUAUAAUUAUACCCAAGGAAAUCAGAUCGAGUCGAUAGAAAAUCCCACGAGAGUUCCAUAAAAUCUGAAAUUAGUUGUCCAUAUUCAACUGACUGAAUUAGAUGGAAUUUAUUGCCGAUCUCAACUCAAUUGGGUAGCACGGAUCAGUGCCUAAGAUUUUAAUGAAUCUGUGUCGGGUUGACUUCAAAGAUCUAACUGUACGCGUGGCUGUGUCGGUAUGAAAGUUAUAGUGGUCUUCGUGGUUGUUCGCGACGGCCCCCGCUGCGUUUACUCCACCUCCGGCUAUGAAUGGACUGGGGAUGGGGAGGCAGCGCCUUUCAAUAUACGGCCAUGCUCUCUAUAUUAAAUUUCAAAGAUACUCGUUAGCUUAAACAUGAUGAUAAUUUUUUUAUUAAACAAUAUUUGCACAAAUAAAAUGGAUAAUGGAAGAGCAGAAUCAGAACAGAGGCAGAGCCGGACAGAGGAGAGCAGAGCAGAGCAGGCACGAGAGUGCUCUGUAAGUCACUGUAGCAUCGAAUCAUGCACAAACCUUCAAAAUUGUUAUUGUUUAUCUCUCUUUCCUUUUUAUACAUUCGUAAACAAAAUACAGAAACCUGGAAGCAUGCACUCAGGCCAUUUUAGAGAAACCAUGCUUCUCCACAUUUUUAUUAUAACUAUUAUUAUGAUUAAGAUUCUUUAAUGCAGUGUUCAAGAGUAGCCCUCGAAGUAGAGGUAACUUGUUUGGACUAUCUGCUGCUAUAGCUUACUUGCCCUGUGCAGCUAAGCGUGUAGGAUUGACAGGGAGGGUCUAGUCUAUCAUGCAAAUCACUAGUGUAGGAGAAUUGGAUGGGUGCUGCUACUGUUUAAGGAAAAGAAAAGCAUCUUUUGCAUAAUGUUUGGCAAUUGAGUCAUCAUUAUUCUUCUUUAUGCCGGCUAAAUUGACUCUUAGGUGGCCUUUCUCCAUCUUAGCUCAAAUUGAUCAACGGAGAACGCCUACAAGCAGGCAUAAGCAGUGCUUUGUGUCAAAUCUCAAAUGCACAGAGCAAUUACAAUUGCAAAAUUCGAACCUACACAAAAUUCUGAAUUCUGCAGCGUGGAAGCCUGUCAGAUCAGAUAGCUGCAUG